rnacentral:rRNA from 1 species
CAAGCAUUCUUGUACCGUGAAACUGCGAAUGGCUCAUUACAACAGUUAUAGUUUAUUUGAUCGUGCGGAGCUACGUGGAUAACCGUAGGAAUUCUAGAGCUAAUACAUGCACCGUCGCCGAGGAUCUUUGGUUAGACCUCGGCGGGAUUUAUUAGAUCAAAAACCAAUCGUUUCUCCCGUUAUUUCGGAGAGAGGCGUGGUGGGAUGAAUCAUAAUAACUUUACCGAAUCGUAUGGCUUAGAUAAGGCCGACGAUAAAUCAUUCAAAUUUCUGCCCUAUCAACUUUCGAUGGUAGGGUAGUGGCCUACCAUGGUGUUGACGGGUGACGGAGAAUUAGGGUUCGAUUCCGGAGAGGGAGCCUGAGAAACGGCUACCACAUCCAAGGAAGGCAGCAGGCGCGCAAAUUACCCAAUCCUGAUUCAGGGAGGUAGCGACAAGAAAUAACGAUAGUGGGCUCGUUCGAGUCCGCGCAUCGGAA